CCUACGGGAGGCAGCAGUGAGGAAUAUUGGUCAAUGGACGAGAGUCUUAACCAUCCAAUUAUCUUUAAUUAUUACUUCCCUAUUUUUUUUAAACUUCUUUUCUCUUUUAAUAACAUGUUCCCCGUGUGGGCUUUUGUAUGUACCCUAUGAAUAAGGAUCGGCUAACUCCGUGCCAGCCGCCGCGGUCCUACGGCGGAUCCGCGCGUUAUCCGGAUUUCUGGGGGGGAAAGGGAGCGUAGGGGGAGGGUUAAGUCAGUUGUGAAAGUUUGCGGCUCAACCGUAAAAUUGCAGUUGAAACUGGCAGUCUUGAGUACAGUAGAGGUGGGCGGAAUUCGUGGUGUAGCGGUGAAAUGCUUAGAUAUCACGAAGAACUCCGAUUGCGAAGGCAGCUCACUGGACUGCAACUGACACUGAGGCUCGAAAGUGUGGGUAUCAAACAGGAUUAGAGACCCGGGUAGUC
rnacentral:rRNA from 1 species